AUUGAACGCUGGCGGCAGGCCUAACACAUGCAAGUCGAGCGAGCGGCGGACGGGUGAGUAAUGUAUGGGGACUGCCCGAUAGAGGGGGAUAACUACUGGAAAAGGUGGCUAAUACCGCAUACUGUCGGAUAACCCAUAUGGGAUUAGCUAGUAGGUGGGGUAAAGGCUCCCCAAGCCGACGAUCUCUAGCUGGUUUGAGAGGAUGACCAGCCCAACGGGGACUGAGACACGGCCCAGACUCCUACGGAGGCAGCAGGGGGGAAUAUUGCGCAAUGGGGGCAACCCUGACGCAGCCAGGCCGCGUGUAUGAAGAAGGCCUUCGGGUUGUAAAGUACUGUCAGUCGGGAGGCGUUACCGACAGAAGAAGCACCGGCUAACUCCGUGCCAGCAGCCGCGGUAAUUC
rnacentral:rRNA from 1 species